rnacentral:lncRNA from 1 species
GGAACCUUGAAAGGUGUUCUAGUCUUUGGAUUAAGCAAAAUCAAAGACCAUGGUGGGAUGAGUGCAUUACAUCAUGUAUGUUGGUGAAGGGAAAGAGCAGUACUUUGGUGCAUCUGUGAUUAUAAUACUUCAAAGUGUCCAAUUCCUAGUCUGUUUUCAAACUUAAUUUGAUAAGGAGCUCCUUCCAUUUCCUGUGUCCAUGAUGAGAGAACCAAAGCUCAGUCAAUGGGCCCCUGUAGCCACUCUGUUUUUCUCUAAUCAUGGUGCAUCUACAUUUCCUCGGGCACUCAAACUGAGCAUGUGUUUUUGGUCUGGGCUGCAUCAUCCUCCCACCCUGCCGCCUCUCCCAAUAAGCAUCCUGUUUCAUCCUUGGCUCUGCUGCUGCUCCAGCCUGAGAAGCUCCCGGCAGGCAUUGGGCCAGUCUCCGGACUGGUGACAGGGUGUGAAUUUGAUUUCUGGAGACAGCCUACAUCCCAGUUAGAGCCCGGCAUGAAGAAUACUAAAAGCAAUAAUGCAGGACAAUAUUGGCCAACAGAAGAACAAUAAUUACAAUCAAAAGUUUGCUGAAGACUUUCUAUAUGCCAGGUCUCAAAGGAGAAGUGGCUUCCGAGACCACCAGGAAGAGAGAGCCUUACCUCUGCUGUUCAUACACACAUGGGAAGUUGAAAAUGGAGAAAUCUUCAGAUCAGAAAUCUUUCCUCAUCUCCAACUUGAGAUGAACCUANUUACCUUUCAGGUCUCAAAGGAGAAGUGGCUUCCGAGACCACCAGGAAGAGAGAACCUUACCUCUGCUGUUCAUACACACAUGGGAAGUUGGAAAUGGAGAAAAUAUCUGUUUUCUGAACAUAGAAAUCUUCAGAAAUCUUUCCUCAUCUCCAACUUGAGAUGA